AGUGAACGCUGGCGGUAGGCCUAACACAUGCAAGUCGAACGGCAGCACAGUAAGAGCUUGCUCUUACGGGUGGCGAGUGGCGGACGGGUGAGGAAUACAUCGUAAUCUACUUUUUCGUGGGGGAUAACGUAGGGAAACUUACUCUAAUACCGCAUACGACCUACGGGUGAAAGCAGGGGAUCUUCGGACCUUGCGCGAUUGAAUGAGCCGAUGUCGGAUUAGCUAGUUGGCGGGGUAAAGGCCCACCAAGGCGACGAUCCGUAGCUGGUCUGAGAGGAUGAUAAGCCACACUGGAACUGAGACACGGUCCAGACUCCUACGGGAGGCAGCAGUGGGGAAUAUUGGACAAUGGGCGCAAGCCUGAUCCAGCCAUACCGCGUGGGUGAAGAAGGCCUUCGGGUUGUAAAGCCCUUUUGUUGGGAAAGAAAAGCAGCAGGUUAAUACCCCGCUGUUCUGACGGUACCCAAAGAAUAAGCACCGGCUAACUUCGUG
rnacentral:rRNA from 1 species